rnacentral:misc_RNA from 1 species
GAAAUGCGAUAAUUAAUGUGAAUUGCAGAAUUCAGUGAAUCAUCGAGUCUUUGAACGCACAUUGCGCCCCCUGGUAUUCCGGGGGGCAUGCCUGUCCGAGCGUCAUUGCUGCCCUCAAGCACGGCUUGUGUGUUGGGCUUCCGUCCCUGGCAACGGGGACGGGCCCAAAAGGCAGUGGCGGCACCAUGUCUGGUCCUCGAGCGUAUGGGGCUUUGUCACCCGCUCCCGUAGGUCCAGCUGGCAGCUAGCCUCGCAACCAAUCUUUUUCACCAGGUUGACCUCGGAUCAGGUAGGGAUACCCGCUGAACUUAAGC